UGGCGACCGGCGCACGGUGAGUAACGCGUAUGCAACUUACCUAUCAGAGGGGGAUAGCCCGGCGAAAGUCGGAUUAAUACCCCAUGAAACAGGGGUCCCGCAUGGGAAUAUUUGUUAAAGAUUCAUCGCUGAUAGAUAGGCAUGCGUUCCAUUAGGCAGUUGGCGGGGUAACGGCCCACCAAACCGACGAUGGAUAAGGGUUCUGAGAGGAAGGUCCCCCACAUUGGUACUGAGACACGGACCAA
rnacentral:rRNA from 1 species